UACGGAGGGUGCAAGCGUUGUUCGGAGUUACUGGGCGUAAAGGGUGUGUAGGCGGUUCUUUAAGUUUGGUGUGAAAUCUCCCGGCUCAACCGGGAGGGUGCGCCGAAUACUGAGGGACUAGAGUGUGGGAGAGGAAAGUGGAAUUCCUGGUGUAGCGGUGAAAUGCGUAGAUAUCAGGAGGAACACCGGUGGUGUAGACGGCUUUCUGGACCAUAACUGACGCUGAGACACGAAAGCGUGGGUAGCAAACAGG
rnacentral:rRNA from 1 species